UACGGAGGGAGCUAGCGUUGUUCGGAAUUACUGGGCGUAAAGCGCGCGUAGGCGGCUUUGUAAGUUAGAGGUGAAAGCCCGGAGCUCAACUCCGGAACUGCCUUUAAGACUGCAUCGCUUGAAUCCAGGAGAGGUGAGUGGAAUUCCGAGUGUAGAGGUGAAAUUCGUAGAUAUUCGGAAGAACACCAGUGGCGAAGGCGGCUCACUGGACUAGUAUUGACGCUGAGGUGCGAAAGCGUGGGGAGCAAACAGG
rnacentral:rRNA from 1 species